GACGAACGCUGGCGGCGUGCCUAAUACAUGCAAGUCGAGCGAAGUUUUUCUGGUGCUUGCACUAGAAAAACUUAGCGGCGAACGGGUGAGUAACACGUAAAGAACCUGCCUCAUAGACUGGGACAACUAUUGGAAACGAUAUCUAAUACCGGAUAACAGCAUUUCUCGCAUGAGAGAUAUUUAAAAGUUGGUUAUGCUAACACUAUGAGAUGGCUUUGCGGUGCAUUAGCUAGUUGGUGGGGUAAAGGCCCACCAAGGCGACGAUGCAUAGCCGACCUGAGAGGGUGAUCGGCCACACUGGGACUGAGACACGGCCCAGACUCCUACGGGAGGCAGCAGUAGGGAAUCUUCCGCAAUGGGCGAAAGCCUGACGGAGCAACGCCGCGUGAGUGAAGAAGGAUUUCGGUUCGUAAAGCUCUGUUGUUAGGGAAGAAUGGAUAUGUAGUAACUAUACAUGUAAGAGACGGUACCUAAACAGAAAGCCACGGCUAACUACGUG
rnacentral:rRNA from 1 species